AUUGAACGCUGGCGGCAGGCCUAACACAUGCAAGUCGAGCGGAUGAAGGGAGCUUGCUCCUGGAUUCAGCGGUGGACGGGUGAGUAAUGCCUAGGAAUCUGCCUUGUAGCGGGGGAUAACGUCCGGAUACGGGCGCUAAUACUCCAUACGUCCUGAGGGCGACAGUGGGGGAUCUUCGGAUCUCAUGCUAUCAGAUGAGCCUAGGUCGGAUUAGCUAGUUGGUGGGGUAAAGGCCUACCAAGGCGACGAUGCGUAACUGGUCUGAGAGGAUGAACAGUCACACUGGAAGUGAGACAGGGCACAGACUCCUACGGGAGGCAGCAGUGGGGAAUCUUGGGCGAUGGACGAAAGCCUGAUCCAGCCAUACCGCGUGUGUGAAGAAGGACUUCGGAUUGUAAAGCACUUUAGGUUGGAAGGAAGUGCAGUAAGUUUAUACCUGACUGUUUUGACGGUACCAACAGAAUAAGCACCGGCUAACUUCGUG
rnacentral:rRNA from 1 species